UGACACAGGGAGGUAGUGACAAGAAAUAACAAUACGGGGCUCAACGCCCUUGUAAUUGGAUGAUGGGAACCUAAACCCCUUCCAGAGUAUCAAUUGGAGGGCAAGUCUGGUGCCAGCAGCCGCGGUAAUUCCAGCUCCAAUAGCGUAUAUUAAAAUUGUUGCAGUUAAAAAGCUCGUAGUUGAAUUUCUGCCGCAUCGCGGCGGCCCUCCCGGGCCCAGCGUUGGCGGCUUAUUUCGGACUCGCUUGCGUCUCCGAAUGUU
rnacentral:rRNA from 1 species